rnacentral:rRNA from 1 species
UACGUAGGGUGCGAGCGUUCCUCGGAAUUACUGGGCGUAAAGCGUGCGCAGGCGGUUUGUCGCGUCUGCUGUGAAAACCUAAGGCUCAACCUUGGGCUUGCAGUGGGUACGGGCAGACUAGAGUGCGGUAGGGGUGACUGGAAUUCCCGGUGUAGCGGUGAAAUGCGCAGAUAUCGGGAGGAACACCGGUGGCGAAGGCGGUUCUCUGGGCCUGACCUGACGCUGAGGAGCGAAAGCGUGGGGAGCGAACAGG